UACGUAGGUGGCAAGCGUUGUCCGGAUUUACUGGGCGUAAAGAGCGCGCAGGCGGUCGACCAAGUCGCGUGUGAAAGCCCCCGGCUCAACUGGGGAGGGUCACGCGAUACUGAUCGACUCUAAGGCAGGAGAGGGUAGUGGAAUUCCCGGUGUAGUGGUGAAAUGCGUAGAUAUCGGGAGGAACACCAGUGGCGAAGGCGACUACCUGGCCUGUUCUUGACGCUGAGGCGCGAAAGCUAGGGGAGCAAACGGG
rnacentral:rRNA from 1 species